GCCUAGUUAGCUUGGAAAUAGCGUCUGCCUUGUAAGCGCUAGGUCGCGGGUUCGAUUCCCGAAUGGGGCG
rnacentral:tRNA from 1 species